CAGUGGCGAACGGGUGAGUAACACGUGGGCAAUCUGCCCUGCACUCUGGGACAACACCGGGAAACCGGUGCUAAUACCGGAUACGACGUACCUCCGCAUGGGGUGUGCGUGGAAAGCUCCGGCGGUGCAGGAUGAGCCCGCGGCCUAUCAGCUUGUUGGUGGGGUGAUGGCCUACCAAGGCGACGACGGGUAGCCGGCCUGAGAGGGCGACCGGCCACACUGGGACUGAGACACGGCCCAGACUCCUACGGGAGGCAGCAGUGGGGAAUAUUGCACAAUGGGCGAAAGCCUGAUGCAGCGACGCCGCGUGAGGGAUGACGGCCUUCGGGUUGUAAACCUCUUUCAGCAGGGAAGAAGCGCAAGUGACGGUACCUGCAGAAGAAGCACCGGCUAACUACGUGCCAGCAGCCGCGGUAAUACGUAGGGUGCGAGCGUUGUCCGGAAUUAUUGGGCGUAAAGAGCUCGUAGGCGGCCUGUCGCGUCGGAUGUGAAAGCCCGGGGCUUAACCCCGGGUCUGCAUUCGAUACGGGCAGGCUAGAGUUCGGUAGGGGAGAUCGGAAUUCCU
rnacentral:rRNA from 5 species